UUUUUUUUUUUUUUUUAAUUAUUUCUAGUUUUUCUGUUUGCAGACAACAUCAAAGCCGCCCCCAGAAUACUUCCAAAGGCUCCAAUUAUGGCUGCAAAAGUUGAAACUGUUUCGACUUGCUUGCUACGAGACUUUCCUGUCUUACAGAAGGUGACAAAGUGCUCGCAGUUUUUUCGAGCAAGGUCAUAGUCGUCGAAUCCAUGUUCCAGUAGGAAGUAGGCCUUCUCCACAACUUCUUUAGCUGGUUUCGAAUUUCCAUCAUACUGCUUCACCUGCAAUUCGCCCCCUGACAGGAAACAAUCAAGGCAGGUUUUCACCACUCCAGGAUUCGUAUUCCUCCCAUACCCACAUACUGCGCAUGGGUAAACCUGGUUUGUGGGGAGACUUCUACUAGUGCUGGCAGUGGAGCUUGAGCCUACAAAAAAUACAUUUUCUGUGGAGACGAAGUGAAUCACGUACUUGACUCCAUCGACCUCGCCCACAUAAAUUCCUGCCAUAGUUAAUAAUCAUUCAAGCAUCAAAUUGUCUACGGUAAGAUUAAAUAUGUAUUUAGUUACAUACUUAAAAUCAUAUGCCAAAGUCAAUGAGUCUUAUCUUAAUGAUACUGGAAUAGUCUUUAGCACAACGAGAUAUCGAUUUAGAAUUACAAUAAUCAAAUGAAGAAAAAAAAUCAUAGGCUGAAGUCCAGUAAGUUUUAAUUUAGUGAAAGUAGACUAACCAUGGUGAUAGUAUGUAGACCUCCAAACAUAGAUAUGAUCACCCACUUGGAGUUCAUCAGGACUAACCAUUUCCCUCAAACUAUCAACUCCUUCAAUAUAUGGCUGAAUGGUGAUUGAUUGUUAUUUUUCAUUUGGUAAUUGCAAUUACAAGUGUAUUUAUAUAGUCAUCCUACAUGCUAAUCAAUUAACAUGUUAGAAUCCUAUCCUAAUGACUUUGCUUAGGAACUUUUACUUUUCACUUUGACAACCAAGCAAGCAUUUAAUUGUUCUGAUGCUCAAAAAAAGAAUUGCAGUACAAAAUUUAUUCCUUGACUAUCAAAGAACAAGAAUUGGAUGAACCUAGCUUUCUCAGCUUUGGAUUCUUCUUGGAGAGCUUUAUCAAAAAUCUGAAACUUUGAACUUACGCAAAAUUUCUUCAGGUUCAGGACACACAGCCUGUAGUUGAGGUUACAUCCCAGCAGCAAGACAUCGCUUGUUGCUGUAAAAUUAUUCAGAAGGAAAUCAAGCUUGAUGUGCACAGCUCCGGUUGAAUGAAAUUUCAUUUCUGUUUAAAAAAAAUUCCAUAAAAAUAUAAAGAAAUUGCGCACAGCUCAACCACUAUUGAUGUGCAGGUACAAAAAUGAACACACAAGUCACCAAUCUAACUUCCUAAACUAUAAAUAAAUGAUUGUUAUUUUCUGGAUUUUUCUUAGGUAGGUGGUUACCCAACUUUAAAAUAAAUGUUAGUGCC
rnacentral:misc_RNA from 1 species